rnacentral:rRNA from 1 species
GACGAACGCUGGCGGCGUGCCUAAUACAUGCAAGUAGAACGCUGAAGAGAGGAGCUUUCUCUUCUUGGAUGAGUUGCGAACGGGUGAGUAACGCGUAGUUAACCUGCCUUGUAGCGGGGGAUAACUAUUGGAAACGAUAUCUAAUACCGCAUAACAAUGGAUGACACAUGUCAUUUAUUUGAAAUUGGCAAUUGCUCCACUACAAGAUCUACCUGCGUUGUAUUAGCUAGUAGGUGUGGUAAGAGCUCACCUAGGCGAGGAUCCAUAACCGACCUGAGAGGCUGAUCGGCCAAGCUGGGACUGGAGCACGGCCCAGAAUACUACGGGAGGCAGCAGUAGGGAAUCUUCGGGAAUGGGAGCAGUGCUGAACGUGCAACGACGCGUGAGAGAAGAAGGUUGUCGGGUCGUGAAGCUCAGUUGUGCGUCAGGGUCGGGUGUGAGAGUGGAAAGUGCACAUAGUGACGGUAGCUGAAGAGAAAGCGACGGCUAACUACGUG